CAGCAGCCACGGGAAUACGUAGGUGGCAAGCGUUGUCCGGAAUUAUUGGGCGUAAAGCGCGCGCAGGUGGUUUAAUAAGUCUGAUGUGAAAGCCCACGGCUCAACCGUGGAGGGUCAUUGGAAACUGUUAAACUUGAGUGCAGGAGAGAAAAGUGGAAUUCCUAGUGUAGCGGUGAAAUGCGUAGAGAUUAGGAGGAACACCAGUGGCGAAGGCGGCUUUUUGGCCUGUAACUGACACUGAGGCGCGAAAGCGUGGGGAGCAAACAGGAUUAGAUACCCCAGUAGUCCCUGUCUCUUAUAC
rnacentral:rRNA from 1 species